UGAUUAUAUUGAGUGGAAUGUAAGUUUUCAAGUAGUGUUUGGAAUGUGUUUCGUUUGACAGAUUUUACAUGGACGAAAACACAAGUUUUAGGACGAAAACCAGUUUUUCCCACAAAAACUUGUUUUCAUUGUCCGUCCGAACAUAGUAUUACUAAAAAUAGUUUCAGCCCUAUUCUGAAAAAACCUCUCAACUGAGUUGAGAGGAAAUAUUUGAGAGAUUUCUUGUGAGGCAUAAUUUGUGAGGCUAUUCUUGCUCAAACCUCAUAAGAAAAAAGCUUAAAAAAGCUUAAAAAAGUCACCACGUGAGGUAAAAAGCUUUUUGCUGUUUUUGCUGUCAAAAAGCUUUUUUAAUAAAAAUAAGCAAACAAAAAUGGACACACAAAUGGAUAAUCAUAUGUGCUACCGCUUUCAACAUGAUUAUGACGUUUGAAUAAGGCAAUGUCGAAUGAGCAUUUUGUACACAACUGUCGUUAAUGCUACUUUAUAUUUAGUAGCAAAGUCCAGCACACUCAAUGUUGUUAAAUUCGCCCGCGACUUUAAUGAAUACAUAUACAUUGGCAAAUCGUUCACUUUUUACAUUUAUUCCGUCAACGGACUCAUCGCAAUGCCUUGACUAUUUAUGCCAUUCAUACCUAUUAAUGUCUUAAAAGCCUCCGCGUUGAUGAACUAAAAGCAAACACUUGAAAAAUC